UCAGGUGGUUAUUGCGGCGGGGUUCCACCUCUUCCCAUUCCGAACAGAGAAGUUAAGCCCGCCUGCGCCGAUGGUACUGCAAUGCAAUGCGGGAGAGUAGGAGGCCGCCCCCU
rnacentral:rRNA from 1 species